AGCUAAACAUGUAGAAAGCUUUACUUAUACCAUGUUUGGACGAGGGUUCGAAUCCCUCCGGCUCCA
rnacentral:tRNA from 1 species